rnacentral:rRNA from 1 species
GACGGUAUUCUCGCGCCAAGCGCCAAGGGUUGUCGGCGGCCGGUCAGACGUGGUGAGGCCCGCGGCGGUCCGCUUUGCGGCGGUUCUGCCGUGCGCGUCGUCGCUGCGCUCUUGGUCGCGCCGUCCGGCAACACACUCCCUAGCGUGAUCCGAUCCAAGGACACUACCAGGCGGGGAGUUUGACUGGGGCGGUACAUCUGUCAAAUAAUAACGCAGGUGUCCUAUGGUCAGCUCAGCGAGGACAGAAACCUCGCGU